rnacentral:rRNA from 1 species
GUGGGGAAUAUUUGACAAUGGGCGCAAGCCUGAUCCAGCAAUGCCGCGUGCAGGAAGAAGGCCUUCGGGUUGUAAAGCACUUUUGGCAGGAAAGAAAUAGUGCGUGCUAAUACCAUGCGCGAAUGACGGUACCUGCAAAAUAAGCACCGGCUAACUACGUGCCAGCAGCCGCGGUAAGACGUAGGGUGCAAGCGUUAAUCGGAAUUACUGGGCGUAAAGCGUGCGCAGGCGGUUUUGUAAGACAGGUGUGAAAUCCCCGGGCUCAACCUGGGAACUGCACUUGUGACUGCAAGGCUAGAGUGUGUCAGAGGGAGGUGGAAUUCCGCGUGUAGCAGUGAAAUGCGUAGAGAUGCGGAGGAACACCGAUGGCGAAGGCAGCCUCCUGGGAUAACACUGACGCUCAGGCACGAAAGCGUGGGGAGCAAACAGGAUUAGAUACCCUAGUAGUCC